UAUAUAUAACCUUUCAAAUAGAAUAAUAAUCAUAUAAACCAUUUAGUUAUUUGGUUUGUGUCACUAACAGAUGUUGGAUAUCAUCGGUGGGAUGUAACCAAGCACAAUUACUUUGUUAUUGUACAUUUUUCAUGUAUCUGUACUAGAGUAUAUUUAUUUUCUGGUACUUUUCUCUUUUACUCCACCGCAUAUAUCAGCAAAUAUCUGAACUUUGUGCUUCACUAUGUUUUUUAACAAUGUAUUGAGUUACAGCUGAAAUUGAUUUGGAAACAGGUCGCUGUAGAGACUCGAUCAUUAAUUAAUAUGUGAAUGAAAAGUGUUUCCAGUGGCAUCAUCUCCAGCUCUCUUUACUUUCUGGAUAUGACAGAGUCUGCACUGUUUUAUCAAACAUAAUAUACAGUUAUACAUGAAGUAGACCAUUGCAUAAGGGAGUAGGCUACACUCUGGAAGUACUCUUACUUUUAAUACUUAAAAUUAUAUUGUAAAGCACUUACUUUUACCUAAGUAUAAAAGGGAAUGUAGUACGAUUACUUUGACAUCUUUUUAUUUGUACUUCAUUAAAAUGAUCGGGUACUUCCUCUUCCACUGUUUGAUAUCUUAUCUCCUUUGUGUCUUUGGUGUAAUAAGGAAACUGCCGCAGCCACAUAGUGUUGCUGUACCUGGACCAGCCGAUGUUGAUGUUGUCUCCUGACACCACACAGGGGAGCAGAGCUCUGCUGCCUUCAGACACCUGGAUGUUGUUUGGGGCCGUGGUGAUCUUCAGAUAAAGUAGUGAAGUGCAUGGCAGUGACUGGAUGAUGGAGGUCAACACACCUUGGACUCUGAGUUGCAGUUGUCUCUGCUCCAGCUGCUGCAGACUGGAGGCGGUGCACGUGUAGACCCCGGAGUCAUCAGACUUCAGGCCGCCGACGAUCAGCGUGCCAUCGGACUUCUGGGCUUGUAUUGAGACCGAAGCUGCGUGUGAUCACCUGGAGUCAGUGAGGGUCCGUCCAUCUUUUGUCCACUGAACGCUGACAGACUGCAGAGCUGACGGAGGGACGAUGGUGCAGGGCAGCCGGACAGUUUGUCCCGCUCGCGUUUCCAGCAAAGAGGAACUCGAACGGUCAAUACUGAACCUGAGGGAGAAGGUCAGGGGAGUCGAUAUCAUUUAUAGAGCCGCAAAUUAUUAGAAGAAUUGAGAUUUACUGACAUUUUCCACAUCUACAGGUGCUUAUGUAACUGUAAAUUGCAAUAGGUUUGAUAUUGGGAACAUUUAUUAAAGCUUUUAUUGACAGUCUAGAUUUGACUCACCGAGGGAACGGCCCGUCCCUGGGGAGGGAGGUGGGAAUCAGCAGAGACGAUCCCUCUAAGUGAAACACAUAUAUACGAUGAGCGCUCCCGUCAUAAUUCACUUACAUAAUCUCAAAUCAACACAUUCACAAAGACUCAGCAUGCUUUGACUUCAGCUGUGACAUCAGGGCUUCUCCCCCAGUCUUCAGGAUUUACGUGUGACCAACUAAUUGGGGUUAAAGUCGGUCAAAUUAGGGUUUGGACCAAUUCUGGCCCCAAUUAUCUGACUGUACGUGGAGUGAUCGAGUCUUUAUAUAUACAAUCUGCAAUUUUGCAUAUCCUUCAUGUAACACAUCUAUGGUUGUUUCAAAAGUGGUAAGUGGGAAAGUAGUGAAUAAAAUGGUUUUUUUAUCACAAUCUUUAAUUUGCUGUUCUAUGUUUUUAUGAAAUCGGUGUAAAUGUACGACCUCACCUGAGACGGAGAGGUAAAUGUAGCGGUGAUCUCUCUCACGCUCCCGAGUGGCCAAGCACAAAAACCAACCAGAGUCCGAAUUGGUGAGAGGACCAACCAAUAGGGAGCCAUUGGGCUGCUGGUGAUGCCUGAGGAAAAAAACAAAGAUCACCACCCAGUGGAGCCAGAGCCCAUUCUUUUACCAGAUUCACACGAGGUCAUCGUGACUUGUGACCUUUCACCAUUGAUCAGUUCAUCUUUGGAUCCAAGUGACAACUGGUCAGAAUGUGAAGAAAUGUC